rnacentral:lncRNA from 1 species
AGGAAACUGAAGUACACAGAGGACAAGACUCAAAGUGACAUAGGGGCCAGCCACAGAGUAAGUAAGCAACUGAGUGCCCUAAAGAAGCAUGAAACUCCAAAAGAUUUUUGGAUGCAAGAACAACCUGGGAUCUAAGGCAUAAGGUGAUGGACUAAUACAAACAGGGGAGGAAUCAUGCAAAAUAAUGCAAAUGAGACAUGUGAACAGGAUCAGUUUUCUGCCACCACCAGGGUUCUCUAUGGUGCCUGUGAAGCACCAGUUUUUUUAUGGACUAUAAUCAACAAUAACCAGAAAGUGUAAAAUGUGCAGGACAGGAGGUUCGUUUCUACUCUUCUUGGUUUUAAAACUACUGGGAGCUUAAGUGCUGUAAGUCUUGUAGGAGAGGACCCUGGGUGUCUACCUCAGGUCUUAAAUGUCUGACUUUCUAAGCAAAUUUCUAGAAGUGAAUUAAGACUGUUAUCACUUGAGCAGGGAGAAAAGAAGAAAAAUAUGUUUUCUACUACUUGAUGUACAUAUUUAUUAAAAGGGGGAGGUUUCCUUCCUGCCAUAUCAUGACUUCCGAGACCUUUCCUGAAAAGAAACAGUGAAAACCAUCUUCCCCUCUACCUACUGUGUCCUGGAGGAGGUAAAGUGUCUUAUCUGUAUGAGUGUGGAAGAAGAUAUUAGGUGUGUAUAAACAAUUCAUUUCUUUCUCCUUACUUUUGCAAGUGAACUGUCUGCAAGAAGUGUAUAUUCUGUUGCACCCAUCAUGAUGUACAACUGCCAUAUGUGGAAUCCUACCAGUCAAGUUGUGCUGUGUACAAUUCUGCUAUUUCUGAGGCUUAGUAUUAAGAUGUUAUCAUCCCAAAUAUAACACACUUCUGCUAAUAACAGUUUGGUCAGUAGUAAAGGAAUUAUUUUUGCCUUCUGCCUUAUGUGCUUUAUUUCUUUGUCUUAUAAUUCUUGUCAAUUUAAAGAUUUUAAUUUAUCAGACAUUGAGAUGUAUCUUGAAAUUGAUGACAUGUAAAAGUUUUAUUAGAGGUAUUUUCUUUCUUAGCAAUAAAUAAUAGUUGAUAGUGUCUUCGAUCUAAUGAAAUAUAAUAUAAUUAUAAUUAGUUUAGAAAUAAAGUUGGAGUCAGGAAGUGCAAAUUUUUGUCAUCAUCAGUGCAAUGUCCUGGGGUUAAUAAAAACAUACAGCUUCUGUGAUAGCAAGCAUUCACUUGGAGCCUGGCCACACUUGGAAAUGAGUUUCACAGUCCAGCCAAGAUUGCCAUGUUUUAUAUGAAAUGAUAAUGAAGUGGCUUCACUUUUAAGACUGUAUUCUUAUUGCUUCCAAAUGAACACUGCCUUGUGCCCACCACUCAUUCCCAGGCUUUUAACUCAUAAAAAUGCUGUUUGUACAAAAGAGAGAAAAGGCCCAAGGGCUUCUAAAUGAUGUUGAUAAUAAGAGAUGUCAAUUAUCUUCACAGCACUGAGUGAAAUAUAUUAUCUGUUUAAUGAUCUUUAAUGAUCUUUGCUUAAUCAUAACACAAAGAAUCCAACCUGUAGAUCCAUAACAUCUGGUAGUCUACAAUUUUUUUCUUCUUCUUAAAGUAGAGCUCUCGUUUAAUGAAAUCUGUUCAAACAAUGGGCUUUCAUUUUCUGUGUAUAUUCCUGAAGUGCCUGGAAAAAAACAGAGAGACAUACUUGCCAGGUAAUCCCUUUCUAGGUUUUACUACAUGCUUAGUAGAGACCAGCGAAUGGGUCACAUUCAAGGGGUGAUAAGCAGAGUACCUGAAGUGGUGUCAGGUGUUCAUGGACUUAGCACUGGCUCCUGUAGUAACUGACUCAAAUAUUUACUAAAUCACAUUUCCCCCUGAAAUGUAGUCUUCUCCCCCACUGAAAGGCAUCAGCUGGAUUCGAAUACUAAGAUCCCUUCUUUUGCUCUGCUUCUUUAAACAGCUUUUUUUAAGUGCCCAAAUCAGUAUGCCAAACAGUGGAAGAGAAUAUGUGAGCAAUUAGAAAAAAAAAAAACCUAGAAGAAAGACACUUGUGCAUUUACAAGAAGUUUAAACUGUGGUUGUACCAAAUAUUUAUAUGUGUUAUAAAUCUAAAGUAAUUGAAACAAUAUGAAAUCAGAAAAAAUUGGUGUAUGAUCCCCUAAAAUUAACUGAAUUAUAUUAAAAGAUAAUUAUCCACUUGAUAUGAGAAAGUUUGAGUUAUUCCAUGUAGGUCUUGGACCGAUUUGUUACCUAUUUAUAAACCAAAACAGAUUUGUUACCUACUACUACUACUAGAUAACAAAUAAUACAAAUAGGUAACUGAUUUGUUACCUAUUCUUAUAAAUGAAAACC